rnacentral:rRNA from 1 species
GACGAAGGGGGCUAGCGUUGUUCGGAAUUACUGGGCGUAAAGCGAGUGUAGGUGGUUGUCCAAGUUGGAUGUGAAAGCCUUGAGCUCAACUCAAGAAAUGCAUUCAGGACUGGAUGGCUAGAGGACCGGAGAGGAUAGUGGAAUUCCCAGUGUAGUGGUGAAAUACGUAGAGAUUGGGAAGAACACCAGUGGCGAAGGCGGCUAUCUGGACGGUUUCUGACACUAAGACUCGAAAGCGUUGGGGAGCAAACAGG